rnacentral:sRNA from 13 species
GUAGGAUAUGGAGAUAUGACGCCUCAUACAUCAUUUGGUAGACUGGUUGGAUCCUUGUGUGCUGUUAUGGGUGUACUCACUAUCGCACUUCCAGUUCCAGUACGUGUCAUUAAC